UGCCUGUUGUUCCAGGGCUCAGGCCUGUUCGGAGAUGUGGCCAUAGUCUUCUCUCCAGAAGAGUGGCAGUGGCUUGCACCGGCUCAGAGGGCCCUCUACAGGGACGUCAUGCUGGAGACCUACAGCAGCCUGGUCUCCCUGGGUCUUCUCAUUUCCAAGCCUGAUGUGAUCUCCUUGCUGGAGCAAGGCGGAGAGCCCUGGAAGGAGAGGGCGGCAGUGGAAGACCUGGGUCCGGGAUUGGAGUCCCAACAUGAUACUAUGG